rnacentral:rRNA from 1 species
GGAAAUAGCCCAGCACUGAAUCCCGCGGUUGUCACGGCCGCGGGAGAUGUGGUGUUCGGGAGGUUCCGCUUUCUCGUCGUCGCGUCUCCUGUCCAAGUUCGUCUUGAACGGGGCCGUUUUCCCGUAGAGGGUGCCAGGCCCGUAGCGACGGAGGGCGGCGGCGAGAGGGACACUCCUCAGAGUCGGGUUGCUUGAGAGUGCAGCCCUAAGUGGGUGGUAAACUCCAUCUAAGGCUAAAUAUUACCGCGAGACCGAUAGCGAACAAGUACCG